AAGUUAAAGGGCCGCGGUAUUUUGACCGUGCAAAGGUAGCAUAAUCAUUAGUCUUUUAAUUGAGGGCUAGAAUGAAUGGUUUGACGAAAUAUUAACUGUCUCUUUACAAUAAGUAGAAUUUAACUUCUGAGUUAAAAGGCUUAGAUGAUUAUAAAAGACGAGAAGACCCUAUAGAUCUUUAUAUAUAAAUAUUCUUAUUUUGUAUAGAUGAGGUUUUAAUAGGGAUAUGAUUAUAUUUUGUUGGGGUGACAUGAAGAUAAAAAUAACUCUUUAUUAUACAAACAUUGAUUUAUGAUUUAUUGAUCCGUUAUUAGCGAUUAUAAGAAAAAGUUACCUUAGGGAUAACAGCGUAAUUUUUUUUGAGAGUUCUUAUCGACAAGAAAGAUUGCGACCUCGA
rnacentral:rRNA from 1 species